rnacentral:rRNA from 1 species
ACUCAAAUGAAUUGACGGGGACCCGCACAAGCGGUGGAGUAUGUGGUUUAAUUCGAAGCAACGCGCAGAACCUUACCAGCUCUUGACAUGUAACAGAAUGGUUUAGGAGACUAGAUCAGACACUUCGGGUGCUGUUAACACAGGUGCUGCAUGGCUGUCGUCAGCUCGUGUCGUGAGAUGUUGGGUUAAGUCCCGCAACGAGCGCAACCCUCAUUGUUAAUUGCCAUCAGGUAUGGCUGGGCACUUUAACGAAACUGCCGGUGACAAGCCGGAGGAAGGUGGGGAUGACGUCAAGUCCUCAUGGCCCUUAUGGGCUGGGCUACACACGUACUACAAUGGUGGUGACAGAAGGAAGCGACGGGGUGACCCUGAGCGGAUCCUCAAAAGCCACCUCAGUUCGGAUUGUUCUCUGCAACUCGAGAACAUGAAGUCGGAAUCGCUAGUAAUCGUAGAUCAGCAUGCUACGGUGAAUACGUUCCCGGGUCUUGUACACACCGCCCGU